GCCGAGGUAGCUCAGUUGGUAGAGCAGCGGACUGAAAAUCCGCGUGUCAACAGUUCAAUUCUGUUCCUCGGCACCA
rnacentral:tRNA from 1 species